UGGAUCCAACCAACAACGGGUAAUGUAAGCCAGCGAUUUCGUGAAGGGCUCUCAUGUGUUGCAGCAAAGGUGAUUGACCUUACACGAGGGAAAACCCCACUCUACCAGCUCUACCUUGAUGCAAGAGAGGAGGCUCUCACUGAUGACCUACCAGAUCUUGACACAAGGGCUGCACUUUUAUUCCUGCCAUACGUCUUCAAGGAGAAACUGGAUCUCUUUGUCAUACUUGGAAAGGUUCAUCCUAAAACCCCCUAUCCAACUGUUCAGCUACUUCAUGAAGACUGGAAACCAGUGUUCUCCAGAAGCGCUCCAAACAUUGUGAAGUUGGAUGGCAGUGAAGUGUGCAGAACCUCGUGUAUUUUUGAAGGAAUCAUCUCUUCUUUCUGCUUGUAUUUUGUCUUCAACCUUGCUUACCCAAAACAUCUGAAGAACACCCUGAUUUUUCUCCAAAAGUACAUUGUGAAAAUAGAUGAGGGUGAGGACCGGCCUCUGCCAAUCACAGUCACCAGACAAAUAAAUCUUCUGUAUUGACCACCAUGCCUCAGCCAUAUCAGUGCUCCAAAUGUGGCAGAAGAACCUUUAGUUUGACAAAGCUUAUUCAGCUUAUUCAGCACAUAGGACUCCCAUGAUGCCAAUUUUGAUAUAACUUGUGGACUCAGUGACUGCUGUUCUUCUGUUACACCAAAGUGUCAUUAUUUAAUCCACUAUGCAAGACUGAUUGAAAUGUUCGGCCCUCUACGUUUGUUAUGGUGUAUGAGAUUUGAAAGUAAGCACCAGUAUUUCAAAACGUUGUCCCGCAAUUGUAGAAAUUUUAUGAACAUUGCUACAACUUUGAGCAACAGACAUCAGUUCAGACAGUGCUGGGAGUUUUCUAACAAAAGUUUACUUGGUGAAUUUGAAAAUGUUUUGGGAAAAAGUGUGACUACACCAUUUUUGUCAUUACCACUGGAACUGCAACGAGCACUGACAGUCUAUUGUGGCUUUUCUGAAGUUGAUAGUGCUAAGAAAGCUUUCCAGCGUGUGUCAGAAGUAAUUGUGAACAGUGUCAAAUACUGUGUAAGAGAUGUGUUUGUCAUUGAUGUACUGCAUUCAGAGAAGAUUCCUCUGUUCUGGCAAAUUAAGUACAUAUUUAAUAUUGACACAAUGUGGGUCUUUUGUGGAAAAAUUCUCAUUCCUCUGUUAUAUGACAACCAUUUUCAUUCAUACAGUGUUAGAGUUGAUAGUGAAUGGACGUUGCUAAAACCUGGACAGGAAAUUGAUGUUGCAGCUUAUGACACAUACUCGGUUGAUAACAGUUUGUAUGUAACAGUUAAGCAAUGUAUUUAAGAAGGUAAUAAAUGUGACAAGUAUUUUUGA